AUUUCGAGAGAGAGUUCUUUCUGCGGUCAAAAUGUAGUAUCGGUUCUUAUCCGCUUAAUAUCUGAAACAGAUUGUGUUUGGACCUAAGAUGUUAAACUUAUGUUUGCAAGUGGCGGAGUGCACAAAGCCUGCUUCACCUCCGCCGCGGGUCGGCCCGGUAUUGCACUAUCUUCGGGAUCGGAAGUGUG
rnacentral:snRNA from 1 species